rnacentral:rRNA from 1 species
AUGGGUCUUGAUUCUAGAACCGUGCCGACAUGGUUUGUCUACCCUAUGCUUAUACAAAUCAUGGGAACUGAAUAUUUUGUCACUAUAUCAGCUUUGUCAAAUGGCAGAAGUUUCCACCUUAAUGAACACAAAGCUUAUGAGAUUUUAGGAAAUGCAUAUCUCACUGUCGCAAGGCAUCUUGGUUUGUUCUUACAGAUAAGCCCCUACUUGGAGGAUGACAUGCUUGGGAUUGAGCCGCUCAAGUUAUGCUUUCCUUUUGAGCUCAACAGUCAGAUAUCAUGCUCACUUAAGCUAACCAAUGAGACAUAUGAUUUUAUUGCAUUCAUCAUCAAAACCACAAGCCCCCUGCAAUACUGUAUACAACCAAAUAAAGGCUUUGUGGCUCCACGAUCGAAGUUUGGUGUCAACAUAACAAUGCAACCACUAGACAAGGCACCAGAAGACAACUACACUGGUGAUUUUAUUGUGCGGAGCACCAUAGUGAAUGAGAAUCUUGAGGACAUAACUGAAGAUUUAUUUAGAAGAGAGGAGGGUAAAUUGGUGGAUGAGGUGAAACUGACGAUUGCAUAUAAGGCCGAGGAACCCCAAGUGGAUGUGCCACUUGGGUCGCCUAUAAUUUCAGACACAAGAAUUUUGCACGGUCCACAUGUAUCCACAGUGCUGUCAACUGAGGCAGAAUCCAAGAUAAGUGCAUCUACCUCAGAUGAGGUGAUCCAGAUUGAUCCCCCCGAUCUCUGCUUUCCCUUAGUGCCAGAUAAAAAGGUGUUAUCCUCAGUUAAAAUAAUCAACAUUACAGAUCUGUAUGUCAGUAUAGCCUUGACUUUAGUGCCGGAAGAAAACUCCAAAAUGUACUCCGUAACCAGUUCCUUAUUGGUCAUGCCACCACGGUCCACACAAUGGCUCAGACUAACAAGAAAAGAAAAGGAAGAUGCAGUAAAAGACGUGCAGUUCAAUGACGAAGUCUUUGUGUGGUACACAAUGGUGGCCGAAGAUAUCAAAGUCUCCGACCUUGACUUGGGGGAUUACAAGGAAUAUAAGAAGUUGCCUGUCGUUCUAACGAAGGCUAUGCCUUCAACAAGGAAUUAUCGCACAUGCGCCGAUGAUGGCGAGUCGAACACAAGGUUGAACUCCGGAUUCGCAUCCCCAAAGCCAAGUUCCAAUCCACCAUAUUCAGCAUGA